rnacentral:tRNA from 2 species
CGGCGAGUAGCGCAGCUUGGUAGCGCAACUGGUUUUGGGACCAGUGGGUCGGAGGUUCGAAUCCUCUCUCGCCGACCA